rnacentral:snoRNA from 1 species
AGCCUCAUUCUGGAUUAGAAUGGGCACUGUUGAUCGGUGUUCAGAAUUGGUCCAUGUGGCUAAAAUUGAGACACAGUUCAUGCUUCCAUCACAGUAAAUAUUUACAGUGGUGACAAUGAGGCUUGUAACAUUU